CGCAUAUAUGCUGGAAUGCUUUAUGCGUAAAAUGGAUUCGUCUGCCCAAGGAUGGGUCUGCGGCCUAUCAGGUAGUAGUGGGUGUAAUGUACCUACUAGCCUACAACGGGUACGGGUUGUGAGAGCAAGAGCCCGGAGAUGGAUUCUGAGACAUGAAUCCAGGCCCUACGGGGCGCAGCAGGCGCGAAAACUUUACAAUGCGGGAAACCGUGAUAAGGGGACACCGAGUGCCAGCAUCAUAUGUUGGCUGUCCAGAUGUGUAAAAUACAUCUGUUAGCAAGGGCCGGGCAAGACCGGUGCCAGCCGCCGCGGUAACACCGGCGGCCCGAGUGGUGAUCGUGAUUAUUGGGUCUAAAGGGUCCGUAGCCGGUUUGGUCAGUCCUCCGGGAAAUCUGACGGCUCAACCGUUAGGCUUUCGGUGGAUACUGCCAGACUUGGAACCGGGAGAGGUAAGAGGUACUACAGGGGUAGGAGUGAAAUCUUGUAAUCCCUGUGAGACCACCUGUGGCGAAGGCGUCUUACCAGAACGGGUUCGACGGUGAGGGACGAAAGCUGGGGGCACGAACCGGAUUAGAUACCCGGGUAGUCCCAGCCGUAAACGAUGCUCGCUAGGUGUCAGGCAUGGCGCGACCGUGUCUGGUGCCGCAGGGAAGCCGUGAAGCGAGCCACCUGGGAAGUACGGCCGCAAGGCUGAAACUUAAAGGAAUUGGCGGGGGAGCACAACAACGGGUGGAGCCUGCGGUUUAAUUGGACUCAACGCCGGACAACUCACCGGGGACGACAGCAAAAUGUAGGCCAGGCUGAAGACCUUGCCUGAAUCGCUGAGAGGAGGUGCAUGGCCGUCGCCAGUUCGUACUGUGAAGCAUCCUGUUAAGUCAGGCAACGAGCGAGACCCGUGCCCACUGUUACCAGCAUGUCCUCCGGGACGAUGGGUACUCUGUGGGGACCGCCGAUGUUAAAUCGGAGGAAGGUGCGGGCCACGGUAGGUCAGUAUGCCCCGAAUUUCCCGGGCUACACGCGGGCUACAAUGAAUGGGACAAUGGGUCCCUCCCCUGAAAAGGGCUGGUAAUCUCCCAAACCCAUCCGUAGUUCGGAUCG
rnacentral:rRNA from 1 species